rnacentral:rRNA from 1 species
UGGGGAAUUUUGGACAAUGGGCGAAAGCCUGAUCCAGCAAUGCCGCGUGUGUGAAGAAGGCCUUCGGGUUGUAAAGCACUUUUGUCCGGAAAGAAAUCCUUGGCUCUAAUACAGUCGGGGGAUGACGGUACCGGAAGAAUAAGCACCGGCUAACUACGUGCCAGCAGCCGCGGUAAUACGUAGGGUGCAAGCGUUAAUCGGAAUUACUGGGCGUAAAGCGUGCGCAGGCGGUUUGCUAAGACCGAUGUGAAAUCCCCGGGCUCAACCUGGGAACUGCAUUGGUGACUGGCAGGCUAGAGUAUGGCAGAGGGGGGUAGAAUUCCACGUGUAGCAGUGAAAUGCGUAGAGAUGUGGAGGAAUACCGAUGGCGAAGCAGCCCCUGGCCAAUACUGACGCUCAUGCACGAAAGCGU